GGUAGAGUGGCUGAUGUUAAGCGGCGGAUUGUAGUCCCGAAUAAAAAGGUUAAAAUCCUUUCUUUUCCA
rnacentral:tRNA from 1 species